AAUGGGGGCAACCCUGAUCCAGCCAUGCCGCGUGUCUGAAGAAGGCCUUCGGGUUGUAAAGGACUUUUGUCAGGGAGCAAAACCCAGCAGCUAAUAUCUGUUGGGGACGAGAGUACCUGAAGAAUAAGCACCGGCUAACUACGUGCCAGCAGCCGCGGUAAUACGUAGGGGGCAAGCGUUAAUCGGAAUUACUGGGCGUAAAGCGUGCGUAGGCGGUUAAUUAAGUCAGAUGUGAAAGCCCCGGGCUUAACCUGGGAACUGCAUUUGAUACUGGUUAACUAGAGUUGAGUAGAGGAGAGUGGAAUUUCGGGUGUAGCGGUGAAAUGCGUAGAUAUCUGAAGGAACACCAGUGGCGAAGGCGACUCUCUGGACUCAAACUGACGCUGAGGUACGAAAGCGUGGGUAGCAAA
rnacentral:rRNA from 1 species